UGCGUAGGCGGGCUAAUAAGUCAGUGGUGAAAUAUUCCGGCUCAACCGGGAGACUGCCAUUGAUACUGUUAGUCUUGAGUUCGGCUGAGGUAGGCGGAAUGUGUAAUGUAGCGGUGAGAUGCUUAGAUAUUACACAGAACACCAAUUGCGUAGGCAGCUUACUAGACCGACACUGACGCUGAGGCACGAAAGCGUGGGGAGCGAACAGGAUUAGAUACCCUGGUAGUCC
rnacentral:rRNA from 1 species